GACGAACCGUGCGAACGUUGUUCGGAAUCACUGGGCUUAAAGGGCGCGUAGGCGGGCUGUCAAGUCCGGGGUGAAAUCCUCCAGCUCAACUGGCGAAUGGCCUCGGAUACUGAUGGUCUCGAGGAGGAUAGGGGCACACGGAACUGUGGGUGGAGCGGUGAAAUGCGUUGAUAUCCACAGGAACUCCGGUGGCGAAAGCGGUGUGCUGGAUCCUUUCUGACGCUGAUGCGCGAAAGCCAGGGGAGCAAACGGG
rnacentral:rRNA from 1 species